rnacentral:rRNA from 1 species
AUUGACCUCGGAUCAGGUAGGGAUACCCGCUGAACUUAAGCAUAUCAAUAAGCGGAGGAAAAGAAACCAACAGGGAUUGCCUCAGUAACGGCGAGUGAAGCGGCAACAGCUCAAAUUUGAAAUCUGGCCCCGUCGGGGUCCGAGUUGUAAUUUGUAGAGAGUGUUUCGGGUGAGACCACGGUCUAAGUCUAUUGGAACAUGGCGUCAUAGAGGGUGAGAAUCCCGUAUGUGACCGUGGCUCGAACCCAUGUGAAGCCUCUUCGACGAGUCGAGUUGUUUGGGAAUGCAGCUCAAAAUGGGUGGUAAAUUUCAUCUAAAGCUAAAUACUGGCUGGAGACCGAUAGCGCACAAGUAGAGUGAUCGAAAGAUGAAAAGCACUUUGGAAAGAGAGUCAAAAAGUACGUGAAAUUGUUGAAAGGGAAGCGCUUGCAACCAGACCUGUCCGUAGGUGAUCAGCCGCUGUUCUCAGUGGUGCACUCGCUCUGCGAUCAGGCCAGCAUCGGUUCCGGCGGUCGGAUAAAGGCCCUGGGAAUGUAGCUCCCUUCGGGGAGUCUUAUAGCCCUCGGUGCAAUGCGGCCAGCCGGGACCGAGGACCGCGCUUCGGCUAGGAUGCUGGCGUAAUGGUUGUAAGCGACCCGUCUUGAAACACGGACCAAGGAGUCUAACAUCUAUGCAAGUGUUUGGGUGUUAAACCCAUGCGCGGAAUGAAAGUGAACGGAGGUGAGAACCCUUUAGGGCGCAUCAUCGACCGAUCCAGAUGUCUUCGGAUGGAUUUGAGUAUGAGCAUAGCUGUUGGGACCCGAAAGAUGGUGAACUAUGCCUGAAUAGGGUGAAGCCAGAGGAAACUCUGGUGGAGGCUCGCAGCGGUUCUGACGUG